CUUCAUUGAGGGUCAGACCACAUAUCUGCAGCCAUUUUGCAGCUACUUUUUGGCCCCCCACAUACUUCUUCAUCCCAAAUGAAGCCCCUUCGCCUCUCACAAAGGCACAUCAAUCCUCAUUCAGCAGCUCUCCACCAUCACAGCUAUUGCACCAUCACUGGCAGCUGAAGACCCUUAUUUUACCCCAGACCAACCUCACAUUCUAGCCUGGGGCUUUCCUGAAUCACAACUGACCAUCUUCCCCAGAGAUGUGGAAUCCAGCAUCAGGCAGUUGCCCAGAUCAGUGUUCAUUCCCCCAGGAGGCCUCAGUCUAACCAUUCUAUCGAGAAAGAAGAGACUUUCUUUAUUUAGAGCAGAUCCUCUUCCAUUCAGCAAGUACAUAGGCAACUCUGCUCACCCGAACACCAGCCAUAUUACUUCCUCUCCUUACAGAGGGUCAGGAGACUCCUCGUGGAGACCUAGAAACAGGCUGUGUGGGGGUCCAGGCUGCCAUUAAAACUUCCCAGCAGUCACCAGAUGAGAGAGCUAACCACCACCAUGGAUGGUACCCAUGACCAUGUCAUUUCAAAUUCCACCACAUGAUGCCUGGCAGGUCUACAAUCCUCCAUAUUUCACCCUCAGAGGGAGAGAGUCAUCAUACUGACACACAAGUCAGACAAACAGUAAAAUAUACUGCAGUUCUGAGCCAAUACAAUUCUCCUUCCCUGCAAACUCUGUACUAUACCAGCACAAAGAAACAGAUGCUAUCGGAGAUCAAAAUCCAUCUAAAUUCUCUCAGAUCAAAACCAGCGCUACUGGACUGUAUCAGGACUCCUUAAGCCAAACCUGGAUCUUCUCCAUUGGGUAUCAGAGAAGCCUUGUAAAAGAUCUAAAAGCAGAACCAUUCAUUGCAGAGGGCUGCACUUCGAAUGCCAUGGUUGAGAACAAAUGGGACAUUGUUUUUUAUCUGUAUACAAAAACAACUGGAAGAACUUUAAACUUUGAAUCCCAUAUUAUCUAAUACUUCCUUAUACAUACUCUACAAACAGGGGAUGACCAUGUGCAAUCAACAUCAUUGGAA